rnacentral:rRNA from 1 species
GACGUAGGGCGCGAGCGUUGUCCGGAUUUAUUGGGCGUAAAGAGCUCGUAGGCGGCUCGUUGCGUCGGCUGUGAAAACCCGCAGCUCAACUGUGGGCUUGCAGCUGAUACGGGCGGGCUGGGAUUCGGUAGGGGAGACUGGAAUUCCUGGUGUAGCGGUGAAAUGCGCAGAUAUCAGGAGGAACACCGGUGGCGAAGGCGGGCCUCUGGGCCGAUAUCGACGCUGAGGAGCGAAAGCGUGGGGAGCGAACAGG